rnacentral:rRNA from 1 species
UACGAAGGUCCCAAGCGUUAUCCGGAUUUAUUGGGUUUAAAGGGUGCGUAGGCGGGCUAUUAAGUCAGUGGUGAAAGCCCCAAGCUUAACUUGGGGACUGCCAUUGAUACUGAUGGUCUUGAGUACAUUUGAGGUGGGCGGAAUGUGUCAUGUAGCGGUGAAAUGCUUAGAUAUGACACAGAACACCGAUUGCGAAGGCAGCUCACUAAACUGUAACUGACGCUGAGGCACGAAAGCGUGGGGAGCAAACAGG